rnacentral:rRNA from 1 species
UCCUACGGGGGGCAGCAGUGAGGAAUAUUGGUCAAUGGGCGAGAGCCUGAACCAGCCAAGUCGCGUGAGGGAAGACGGUCCUAUGGAUUGUAAACCUCUUUUGCCGGGGAGCAAAAAGCGGUACGUGUACCGCAUCGAGAGUACCCGGAGAAAAAGCAUCGGCUAACUCCGUGCCAGCAGCCGCGGUAAUAUGGAGGAUGCGCGCGUUAUCCGGAUUUAUUGGGCUUAAAGGGUGCGCAGGCGGCGAGUUAAGUCAGCGGUAAAAUUUCGGGGCUCAACCCCGCCGAGCCGUUGAAACUGGCUUG